AGGGAUCAGGGCCAUGUCCUAUUGUGGAAAAUAUCAGGUCAUUAUCAACCUGGAAGAACUUUAUAGUGCUAAUUGUAAUUAAACUGUUGUGUGGAGACUAGCUCUGGCUUCCAGGCCAGAGGAAAAUUAUGGAAAAGAUAUCUGCAAAUACAGAAGGAGAUGAAGCAGAUGCAUCACUGGAGAAGAAGAUGGAUCCUGCUGAAGCUGCAGUCAACAACUGGCUAGAGGUUCAAGAUUCGCUAAAAGAGAGGCUGAUAACAGAGGACGAUUUCAAUUGGAAACUACCCAGAUCCCAUUCCAAAUCCAUUGAUUCAAAAGAAGAAGUGUUGUUGAAGUAUGUUGGUGGGGUUGAUAUCAGCUUCUCAAAGGAAGACCCAUCUGUUGCAUGUGGAUGCCUCGUUGUAUUGGACAUUCAAACUCUGCAACUUGUUUAUGAGGACUACUCUAUCCACAACCUUCAAGUUCCUUAUGUCCCCGGUUUCCUUGCUUUCCGUGAGGCUCCACUUCUUUUACAGCUUCUGGAAAACAUGAAAAUGAAGGAUAAUCCUUUCUAUCCACAGGUAUUAGUGGUUGAUGGAAAUGGGUUACUCCAUCCUCGAGGUUUUGGCCUGGCUUGUCAUCUAGGUGUUCUGGCUAAUCUCCCAACAAUUGGAAUCGGAAAGAAUCUACACCAUGUGGAUGGUCUUACUCAUACCACAGUAAGGCAACUACUUGAAGCAAGAGAAAACAGUGAUGCUGAUAUUAUUACUUUGAAAGGAAGAACUGGAUUCGUAUGGGGAGUGGCAAUGAGAUCAACUCCAGAUAAAUUGAAACCGAUAUUUAUUUCAGUUGGUCACCGCAUAUCACUUGAUACUGCAGUGCAGAUUAUUAAAAUGACUUGCAAGUAUCGUGUACCAGAGCCUAUCAGGCAGGUCAACAAAGAUCUUGUAGCUUUUAUCGCUGUCAACCCAAUGUCAUUCUUUUGAUAGGCUGACGUAAGAUCAAGAGACUAUCUCCAAAAGCGUUGGAUGGGACAUUAGAAAGCUGCCACUGGUUAAAUUUGGUUUAAUCCUACUCAAUGUGUAAUUCUGCAGAAGCCUUCAUGACAGUACAGAAAGUGGGAUCAGAUGGGGGUCAGCAUUGACUCCGGGCCAUCAAUGGUCUUGCCUACUAGACACACAGAAUUUCAGGAAAUGAGCAAGGAACCAAAAGUAUCUAUGAAAAACCUCUUUUUAUAUCUUCUACAGAAAUUAAAAUGUACUGUGUUCCCAUGGAGAAAAAUAUAUCGAUGCAACUUUCAUUGAGAAUGAAAUGAAUCAUAUUUGCACCAAA